rnacentral:lncRNA from 1 species
GUGGUCUGGCACGUGAUAGACAACGGACCGAUCUCGUCAUGUGCCCGAUGGGAGCGACGGACUGCUCCGAGGCCUUUGCUCAGCCGCAUUCGUUAUAUGAACUCAUUUACCUUGUUUAGUAUAUACGGAGAUGUUCCAGUGUGUUGUGAGACGUGA